rnacentral:rRNA from 1 species
UACACUCCUGCGGGAGGCAGCAGUGGGGAAUAUUGGACAAUGGGCGCAAGCCUGAUCCAGCCAUGCCGCGUGAGUGAUGAAGGCCCUAGGGUUGUAAAGCUCUUUCACCGGUGAAGAUAAUGACGGUAACCGGAGAAGAAGCCCCGGCUAACUUCGUGCCAGCAGCCGCGGUAAUACGAAGGGGGCUAGCGUUGUUCGGAUUUACUGGGCGUAAAGCGCACGUAGGCGGACUAUUAAGUCAGGGGUGAAAUCCCGGGGCUCAACCCCGGAACUGCCUUUGAUACUGGUAGUCUUGAGUUCGAGAGAGGUGAGUGGAAUUCCGAGUGUAGAGGUGAAAUUCGUAGAUAUUCGGAGGAACACCAGUGGCGAAGGCGGCUCACUGGCUCGAUACUGACGCUGAGGUGCGAAAGCGUGGGGGGCAAACAGGAUUAGAUACCCUUGUAGUCCCA